rnacentral:lncRNA from 1 species
UUCCCGAAGUAGCUUUGUCAGAUCAGGAUUUCUAUCUCAUCCCUGAGCUAGACGCACUGUUCGGUAUCGUGACCAUGAUCAUGAUGAAACCGACAGUACUUCUUCCUAUCUUGACUCCUCGAUGGUGUUUUCAUUGAUGGAGGGUGUCAUAAAUACUUCUCUCCUUCGAUCUCCAUUGGGAUCUGCGUACGAGGAGUAAAGAGAGAAGCAUAGGAGUCAUACCUGUCGUAGUUGUUUGGCUUCAGAUUUUAUCAUCGAGGUGAAGCUCUUUUAUUGACAGUCGGCCUACUUGAUUCGGUCGGAGCUUCACUUUUCUUUUAUUUCUUCUUUUGACCUUUUUCAUCUGUUUGACGUCGGUCAGAAGCAGCUUCAUCCAUGCAAAUGUACUUGUACGUGUGCUCCAGAAGUUCAGCAUAGAUCUGAGAGAGAGUUUUAUAGAGAGAGUAAGUAAAUCUGGAUCCCCUCAGACCCCUUUUCAUGAUCGAUAUAGCCAUAUCUUCAUUGAAGUCCCUAACCUCAAAUGUGGCUGUAUUGAAACAAGCCACAAAAUCUCUCAAUAUCUCUAUUUCACCUUGCUUGAUUGAGAAGAGACUGUUGGAUGUCCGUGGCAUCCUUCGGCUUAUACUAAAGUGGGCCACGAAAGAAUACUCAAGCUGCUCGAAAGAGUUAGUGCUCUCCGACUGAAGCCCGAAAUAUUAGGCUCGAGCAGCCUUCUGAAGAGUUACUGAAAAGCCAAUGCAUAAGAGGACAUCAGUUGCCCUUUGGAUCAUCAUGAGAGCCUUAUAGCUCUCCAAGUGGUCGAUCGAAUCGGUGGAGCCAUCAUAUAACUCCAUUUGCGACAUCUUGAAUCGAGAGGGAAUCGAUUCAUCCAAGAUAUGUCGAAAGAAAGGCUGGGCAGUGUGAAAGUCAUAGUCA